rnacentral:tRNA from 1 species
UGGCACGUAGCUCAGUCUGGUCAGAGCGCCCGCCUGAUACGCGGGGUCAUUGCGGUGGUUCAAGUCCACCCGUGCCAA